CCUCGAAUUAAAUCAUCGUUGCUUUUUAUGCCCUAUUUAUUAUGAUAUUUAUGAAUUUAUUAUACAACACUUAUUGAGUUUAAAAUUCACAUAGAAAGCUAUCAGUUUCACAUGGAAGUUAAAGACGUUUUCGGGAGUUUUCAUAUAGACAUAUAUAUAGGCAAAAUUAAAACUGUUUAAACUUGGCAUGUUGUUAAAAUAUGAUAACAGAAACGUUUAAUGCGAAAAAGAAUCGGAGUCACCGUUCUCGUUUUUGAGUUAUCUGCCCUUGAAUUGGACUUUUUUUUAUAAAAUUCAAGCGCAGAUAAUUUACAAAGAAGGGAAACAAUACAAUUUUGUUUUCUUAUUUUCAUGAAGCUUACCUUCGUUUAAGUUUACAUGCAAAAUUUCAAGAACAAAUUUAGAGUGGGUAGUUUUUAUUCCCACUUCUUCUUAAAACCUAUGCAUUUGUUCUUAAAAAAUGGCAUAUUUUUUAAGAAUUUAAAGUACCUUAAAAUAUUUUCAUUGAAAGAAAUUAACAGAAACGAUGUAAGGAAUGUUAUCAUGUAUUGUACUCAACAAUAAAAAGGAAAACAUAAUCCAGAAGUAAAAACAAGAAUUUAUUUAUGUAUUUAAGUUAUCUGCCCUUGAAAUUACCUCAAAUAAUUAGAAAAGUCUGAAUCAGGGGCAGAUAACUCAAAAACGAGAACGGUCACCGUGACCCCAAUGUUAUCAUAUUCUAACACAAGUUUGAACAGUUUUAUUUGCCUAAAUUGUAUAUGUUUAUAUGAAAACUCCCGAAAACGUCCUAAUUAAAACACAAUAAACCAGUCUUUAUUAACACACUACAAACUGUAAUUGUCCGUUCAACCAGUAUUUAUACAAUGUUGAUAAAUUACACCGUUCAGCUUACUUCAACAACAAAAAAGGUUUUGAAAAGAAGAUAUUUGAUACCAGCGACUGUGUAAAUAUAGCGAGAGGUAGCAUAGUGCAGUACAGUGUGUGUAAGUCCGAUAGCUAGACAUGUUAUGCGAGAUACAUGUUGAUUAAACUGUGUAGCAUAUCAACAAUAAUUGAGUGUUUCGGAUGUAAAAAUGCAGGGAUAAUUGUAUGAAUGUCAAUAAUGGAAGAGAAAUUUGUGAUAUAUGAAGCCAAACAUCGAAGUGGUGAACGAUUAUUGCAGACGUAACAUGUGAGCGUUUAUAGUGUGACGUUAUGGGCAGACAAUUUAUCUUACAGUAGUAGUCAAUGAAUUAAGGGAUGAUCAAAACUCACAAUGGGAAUAAAAAGACGGAUACCAUAUUCUAAGUUACUGUUUUGUUUUGUAGCAUUUUCAGUAUCAGUAUUGUACAUUCAAACAAUUGUCGACAAAAAAUCUAAUGAUUUAUGCAAUGAAAA